rnacentral:tRNA from 1 species
GCGUUGGUCGCAUAGCGGCAAUUGCCGUUGGCUGUAAACCAACUGUCCCUUGUGGACUUCCAAGGUUCGAGUCCUUGUCAACGCACCA